GACGAACGCUGGCGGCGUGCUUAAUACAUGCAAGUCGAACGAUGAAGCCGGAGCUUGCUCUGGUGAAUUAGUGGCGAACGGGUGAGUAACGCGUGAGUAACCUGCGCUUGGCUCUGGGAUAACUGCUAGAAAUGGUAGCUAAUACCGGAUACGACCCUCGGCGGCAUCGCCAGGGGGUGGAAAGAAUUUCGGUCAAGGAUGGACUCGCGGCCUAUCAGCUAGUUGGUGAGGUAACGGCUCACCAAGGCGACGACGGGUAGCCGGCCUGAGAGGGUGACCGGCCACACUGGGACUGAGACACGGCCCAGACUCCUACGGGAGGCAGCAGUGGGGAAUAUUGCACAAUGGGCGCAAGCCUGAUGCAGCAACGCCGCGUGAGGGAUGACGGCCUUCGGGUUGUAAACCUCUUUUAGUAGGGAAGAAGCGAAAGUGACAGUACCUGGAGAAUAAGCACCGGCUAACUUCGUGCCAGCAGCCGCCGUAA
rnacentral:rRNA from 1 species